rnacentral:rRNA from 1 species
CAAUAGCGUAUAUUAAAGCUGUUGCGGUUAAAAAGCUCGUAGUUGGAUUUCUGUUAAGGACAACUGGUCCGCCCUCCGGGUGAGCACAUAGUUUGGUCUUGGCAUCUUGCUGGAAACUGUUGCUGCGCUUGGUUGUGUGGUGCAGCUUUCAGCACUUUCACUUUGAGGAAAUUGGAGUGUUUCAAGCAGGCACAUGCCUUUGGACACAGUAGCAUGGAAUAAUUAGAUUGGGCUUUUGCUCCAACUUGUUGGUUCCUGGAGCUGAGGUGAGAAUCAAUGGGGAUUGUUGGGGGCAUCCGAAUUUAGCCGUCAGAGGUGAAAUUCUUGGAUCUGCUAAAGACGGACAACUGCGAAAGCGUUUGCCCAGGAUGUUUUCAUUGA